UCAGACUAGGAAAAACUGUUGACCUGCCGAUACACGUCAGAAAAAUUGCUGUACAAGUUAGUCAUACUUUCGCUGGCCAAAUAUCGUCUAAAUAGAGAAAUUGAAGCAGCAAGUGAAAAAGUCAGUAAAUGCUGUGAUUUCGGACAGCUACAACCAGAAUGUGCGGGCUCAGCUCGACUUCUGCCAAAGGAACGUCAGUCAGCGGGAACUGGGGAACUCCAGUUCCGUGGAAAACGAACUAUUGUACGAGUGUGCUUGAGUCCUUUCGCUUGUAGCUCCGAAAAUGUGGCCAGGACACGCAAACAGGACGCCCAACGUGGCGCCAAUGCGGGCAGACAGGAUUGGAGCAGGGUGGUGGAUACAAUGGAAACACUGUGGCGCCGGGAAUUGCGGGUUUUUUGGCUUUGCGGAGACAGAAAGAAGGAAUCCACAUAUAGCAGGCAUUCUGGAAUUAUGUUUAUCUGGCUAAAAGGGCUACAAAAAGUACAGAGUGUACAAAUAGUUAAUUAAGGAAUAUUGAGGGAAUGCGGUUUUUUGUAUCAUCUUAGUAUAGAUGUUAAUGUAGUUUCAUAUUAAAAGAAUUAAUUUCUUGCAGUGGCACUGAUUACA
rnacentral:sRNA from 1 species